rnacentral:tRNA from 1 species
AGUAGAAUGACUGAGAUUAAAGGUAAUAGAUUGUAAAUCUAUGUAGGAGUUAUUACUCUUCUACUA